AGUGUUUCAGAUAGCUUAACUGGUAGAGCACUUGGCGCGUAAACCAAAAGUUAUCCAGGUCCGAGUCCUGGUCUGGCUG
rnacentral:tRNA from 1 species